UACGGAGGGAGCUAGCGUUGUUCGGAAUUACUGGGCGUAAAGCGCACGUAGUCGGCUUUGCAAGUCGGGUGUGAAAUCCCCGGGCUCAACCUGGGAACUGCAUCCGAGACUGCAUUGCUAGAGUAUGGGAGAGGGAAGCGGAAUUUCUGGUGUAGCAGUGAAAUGCGUAGAUAUGCGGAGGAACACCGAUGGCGAAGGCAAUCCCCUGGGCCUGCACUGA
rnacentral:rRNA from 1 species